rnacentral:rRNA from 1 species
AGGUUGAUCGGCCACAUUGGGACUGAGACACGGCCCAGACUCCUACGGGAGGCAGCAGUGGGGGAUAUUGCGCAAUGGGGGAAACCCUGACGCAGCAACGCCGCGUGAAGGAAGAAGGUCUUCGGAUUGUAAACUUCUUUUGUCGGGGACGAAGAAAGUGACGGUACCUGACGAAUAAGCUCCGGCUAACUACGUGCCAGCAGCCGCGGUAAUACGUAGGGAGCGAGCGUUGUCCGGAUUUACUGGGUGUAAAGGGUGCGUAGGCGGCCGAGCAAGUCAGUUGUGAAAACUAUGGGCUUAACCCAUAACGUGCAAUUGAAACUGUCCGGCUUGAGUGAAGUAGAGGUAGGCGGAAUUCCCGGUGUAGCGGUGAAAUGCGUAGAGAUCGGGAGGAACACCAGUGGCGAAGGCGGCCUACUGGGCUUUAACUGACGCUGAGGCACGAAAGCAUGGGUAGCAAACAGGAUUAGAUACCCUGGUAGUCCAUGCCGU